rnacentral:rRNA from 1 species
AGGAGCUUGCUCCUGCUGACGAGCGGCGGACGGGUGAGUAACACGUGGGAAUCUGCCUAUUGGUGGGGGAUAGCCCGGAGAAAUCCGGAUUAAUACCGCAUAAUACCUGAGGGUUAAAACAGGGGAUCUUCGGACCUUGUGCCAAUAGAUGAGCCCGCGUCAGAUUAGUUAGUUGGUGAGGUAAUGGCUCACCAAGACCGCGAUCUGUAGCUGGCCUGAGAGGGUGGCCAGUCACACUGGAACUGAGACACGGUCCAGACUCCUACGGGAGGCAGCAGUGGGGAAUAUUGGGCAAUGGGCGCAAGCCUGACCCAGCCAUGCCGCGUGUGUGAAGAAGGCUUUCGGGUUGUAAAGCACUUUAAGUUGGGAGGAAGGUGCGACGGUUAAUACCCGUUGUAAUUGACGUUACCAACAGAAUAAGCACCGGCUAAUUCCGUGCCAGCAGCCGCGGUAAUACGGAAGGUGCGAGCGUUAAUCGGAAUUACUGGGCGUAAAGCGCACGUAGGCGGUUUGCUAAGUCAGAUGUGAAAGCCCAGGGCUUAACCUUGGAACUGCAUCUGAUACUGGCAGGCUAGAGUACAGUAGAGGGAGGUGGAAUUUCAGGUGUAGCGGUGAAAUGCGUAGAGAUCUGAAGGAACACCAGUGGCGA